UAUGGUCAAGUGAAGAAGCGCAUACGGUGGAUGCCUUGGCAGUCAGAGGCGAUGAAAGACGUGGUAGCCUGCGAAAAGCUUCGGGGAGUCGGCAAACAGACUUUGAUCCGGAGAUGUCUGAAUGGGGGAACCCAGCCAUCACAAGAUGGUUAUCUUGUACUGAAUACAUAGGUGCAAGAGGCGAACCAGGGGAACUGAAACAUCUAAGUACCCUGAGGAAAAGAAAUCAACCGAGAUUCCCUUAGUAGUGGCGAGCGAACGGGGACUAGCCCUUAAGUGGCUUUGAGAUUAGCGGAACGCUCUGGAAAGUGCGGCCAUAGUGGGUGAUAGCCCUGUACGCGAAAAUCUCUUAGUCAUGAAAUCGAGUAGGACGGAGCACGAGAAACUUUGUCUGAACAUGGGGGGACCAUCCUCCAAGGCUAAAUACUACUGACUGACCGAUAGUGAACUAGUACCGUGAGGGAAAGGCGAAAAGAACCCCGGAGAGGGGAGUGAAAUAGAUCCUGAAACCGUAUGCGUACAAGCAGUGGGAGCCCACUUUGUUGGGUGACUGCGUACCUUUUGUAUAAUGGGUCAGCGACUUAUUUUCAGUGGCGAGCUUAACCGAAUAGGGGAGGCGUAGCGAAAGCGAGUCUUAAUAGGGCGUCUAGUCGCUGGGAAUAGACCCGAAACCGGGCGAUCUAUCCAUGGGCAGGUUGAAGGUUAGGUAACACUGACUGGAGGACCGAACCGACUACCGUUGAAAAGUUAGCGGAUGACCUGUGGAUCGGAGUGAAAGGCUAAUCAAGCUCGGAGAUAGCUGGUUCUCCUCGAAAGCUAUUUAGGUAGCGCCUCAUGUAUCACUGUAGGGGGUAGAGCACUGUUUCGGCUAGGGGGUCAUCCCGACUUACCAAACCGAUGCAAACUCCGAAUACCUACAAGUGCCGAGCAUGGGAGACACACGGCGGGUGCUAACGUCCGUCGUGAAAAGGGAAACAACCCAGACCGUCAGCUAAGGUCCCAAAGUUAUGGUUAAGUGGGAAACGAUGUGGGAAGGCUUAGACAGCUAGGAGGUUGGCUUAGAAGCAGCCACCCUUUAAAGAAAGCGUAAUAGCUCACUAGUCGAGUCGGCCUGCGCGGAAGAUGUAACGGGGCUCAAACCAUACACCGAAGCUACGGGUAUCAUCUUAGGAUGAUGCGGUAGAGGAGCGUUCUGUAAGCCUGUGAAGGUGAGUUGAGAAGCUUGCUGGAGGUAUCAGAAGUGCGAAUGCUGACAUGAGUAACGACAAUGGGUGUGAAAAACACCCACGCCGAAAGACCAAGGUUUCCUGCGCAACGUUAAUCGACGCAGGGUUAGUCGGUCCCUAAGGCGAGGCUGAAAAGCGUAGUCGAUGGAAAACAGGUUAAUAUUCCUGUACUUCUGGUUAUUGCGAUGGAGGGACGGAGAAGGCUAGGCCAGCUUGGCGUUGGUUGUCCAAGUUUAAGGUGGUAGGCUGAGAUCUUAGGUAAAUCCGGGAUCUUAAGGCCGAGAGCUGAUGACGAGUUACCCUUUGGGUGACGAAGUGGUUGAUGCCAUGCUUCCAAGAAAAGCUUCUAAGCUUCAGGUAACCAGGAACCGUACCCCAAACCGACACAGGUGGUUGGGUAGAGAAUACCAAGGCGCUUGAGAGAACUCGGGUGAAGGAACUAGGCAAAAUGGCACCGUAACUUCGGGAGAAGGUGCGCCGGUGAGGGUGAAGGACUUGCUCCGUAAGCUCAUGCCGGUCGAAGAUACCAGGCCGCUGCGACUGUUUAUUAAAAACACAGCACUCUGCAAACACGAAAGUGGACGUAUAGGGUGUGACGCCUGCCCGGUGCCGGAAGGUUAAUUGAUGGGGUUAGCUAACGCGAAGCUCUUGAUCGAAGCCCCGGUAAACGGCGGCCGUAACUAUAACGGUCCUAAGGUAGCGAAAUUCCUUGUCGGGUAAGUUCCGACCUGCACGAAUGGCGUAACGAUGGCGGCGCUGUCUCCACCCGAGACUCAGUGAAAUUGAAAUCGCUGUGAAGAUGCAGUGUAUCCGCGGCUAGACGGAAAGACCCCGUGAACCUUUACUAUAGCUUUGCACUGGACUUUGAAUUUGCUUGUGUAGGAUAGGUGGGAGGCUUUGAAGCGUGGACGCCAGUUCGCGUGGAGCCAUCCUUGAAAUACCACCCUGGCAACUUUGAGGUUCUAACUCAGGUCCGUUAUCCGGAUCGAGGACAGUGUAUGGUGGGUAGUUUGACUGGGGCGGUCUCCUCCUAAAGAGUAACGGAGGAGUACGAAGGUGCGCUCAGACCGGUCGGAAAUCGGUCGUAGAGUAUAAAGGCAAAAGCGCGCUUGACUGCGAGACAGACACGUCGAGCAGGUACGAAAGUAGGUCUUAGUGAUCCGGUGGUUCUGUAUGGAAGGGCCAUCGCUCAACGGAUAAAAGGUACUCCGGGGAUAACAGGCUGAUACCGCCCAAGAGUUCAUAUCGACGGCGGUGUUUGGCACCUCGAUGUCGGCUCAUCACAUCCUGGGGCUGAAGCCGGUCCCAAGGGUAUGGCUGUUCGCCAUUUAAAGUGGUACGCGAGCUGGGUUUAGAACGUCGUGAGACAGUUCGGUCCCUAUCUGCCGUGGACGUUUGAGAUUUGAGAGGGGCUGCUCCUAGUACGAGAGGACCGGAGUGGACGAACCUCUGGUGUUCCGGUUGUCACGCCAGUGGCAUUGCCGGGUAGCUAUGUUCGGGAAAGAUAACCGCUGAAAGCAUCUAAGCGGGAAACUUGCCUCAAGAUGAGAUCUCACUGGAACCUUGAGUUCCCUGAAGGGCCGUCGAAGACUACGACGUUGAUAGGUUGGGUGUGUAAGCGCUGUGAGGCGUUGAGCUAACCAAUACUAAUUGCCCGUGAGGCUUGACCAUA
rnacentral:rRNA from 2 species